AACCUCUGUUUGUAGAUCCUGGGUCUGAUGGUGGUGCGUAAGAUGAUGGACCUGAUGUUCUCUCAACAUGACCUGGCCUGGCUGGACGACAUCCUGCCGGAGAAAGACAAGAAGAAGGAGAAAGGGGGGAAGAAAAAGAAAGACAACAAAAAGACCAAAGCAGCAGCAGAGACGGAGAGCGACGAGGAGUGUUGCUGAAAAGGCACUGUAUAACACUUACUACUGUCUGUCUCAUAGUCUGUCUCGACGUCUGUCUGUCUGUCUCGACGUCUGUCUGUCAGUCUGGACGUCUGUCUGUCUGUCGGUCUCGACGUCUGUCUGUCUCGACGUCUGUCUGUCUGAACGUCUGUCUGUCUGAACGUCUGUCUGUCUGAACGUCUGUCUGUCUUGAUGUCUUUCUCCUUCCAACUUUCACCUGCAUGGUUCAAUCCUCUCUGUGUAUUAUUUAAGCAUUUAAUUGCACCAUUUACUGUUUACACUGUAUCCUGUGCAUAUAAUGAAUAAACUUUGAUUUGAUGGUUGUGAUGUUUUGCUUCGAUUUAAGCAUGCAGAUUGUGUGAGCGUGUGCGUUCAUGUCCGAGUAUAUUUGGGGCAUCAUCCCUCACGCCUCUGUUGAGCCACUCCCCUGAUGGUUCCUCCUGCACGCUGAUUGGUUCCCCCCGGUUCCCCCCUCUGUCACUCAGCCCAAGACUCCCCUCCCUCCUCCAGUGAAGAUACUCAUGGACACCAUAGACCUGCCUAAAGACCCUGACCCCUCUGUAACCCCACUCACUCAGCCCCCUGUCUCUGGCUGGGAGUAAACCUCUCUUUUGAGAUUGACCAAAGGAGUGACAACUGUUGUUUGUAUUACUGUGAUGUCAUUGUUGUGCGACAGAUGGAGCAGCUAGAUUGAUGUUAUGAUGUUGUGAGACACUGAUGGUUUUAUUAUUUUUUUUUGUCUUCCUUCUCUCCUACCUCACCUGAUUCUUCACUCUGCCAUUCAACCCUUCCUAUCUCUGUGUGUGUGUGUGCGCAUGUGCGUGCGUGUAUGUAUGCAUAUGUGUGUGUGUUUGCUUGUGUACAUGUCUGUGUGUACAGGAGAAGAACGUUUACUCUAGUGUGAAUCCUGAUAACAUUGAGCUGGACCGCAGGUACUGUGUGCUCAAACUGCACGUCCCCUACAGUGACCUGAUACAACCUGCCAUCACACACACCGACUGAGGAGUACAUGGCCAGCAGGACCACAACUACACACACACACACAACUACACACACACACACACUUCACUUGAAGGCAUUCAGUUGUACAACUGACUAGGUAUCCCCCUUUUCCUUCUGUACAAUUACCGACACAUGCUAGGAACCAUUUAGCAAAGUUCCAUUCACUAUUAGCAUUCUUUAGCACUGUUGUCACCUAAACACUUUAUACACAUAGAAUUUCAUAUAAAUAUAUACAAAUAUUCCAUAAACUGUAGAUAUGAUGUGAUAUUUAACAUAUAAACAUAUGUCUAUUAGAUUCAGUUGGAUAGUAGUUAUUGUAUUAUAAGUGUGUUAUGCAACACCUUUACUCGUAAACAUUGUAUAAAUCACUGUAGUGUCUGGUAGACAUACCCAGACACAUGGAUCACAUGCCAUUCUGAACCUUAAGUCUACUGUCCAAAGCUGUUGGAGCAUAAAUCGCAGUGUGUGGACUGAGUCUUCUCUUCGUUCAAAAUAUUCUCUGAGCUCCAGCACCUACUCAAACCACUGGAUGUUGUGUGUGUAAUGUUUUUCUCUGCUAUACUUUGGCCCUACUGUAGAUGUGUUUGUGAGGGCAGACUGACAGUUGUUCAAAUACCACAGCCCAUGCACCUGAAAGCAAGGCAGAAGUAGUUUUUGUGUGUUUGUUUGUUUUGAUGAUGUCUUCCAUGUGUUAUUUAUUCACCGUGUGCUGUGUGGUUUGUGGCAGCAACCUCUGUUGUACUAAUGUAAAGACUCCUCUGAAGGCAUAGUUGGCGAAGGAAGAGUUGUAAUGUUAUAGUAAUACAAUAUUAUUAUUAUUGAAAAAAAAAAGUAUUUCAACCCCUUUUUCUCCUCAAUUUCGUGAUAACCAAUUACGAUCUUGUCUCAUCGCUGCAACUCCCCAACGGGCUUGGUAGAGGAGAAGGUCGAGUCAUGCGUUCUCCGAAACAUGACCCGCCAAACUUCGCUUCUAAACACCCGCCCGUUUAACCCGGAAGCCAGCUGCACGGAGAAAACACCGUUCAACUGUCAGCCUGCAGGCGCCCGGCCCGCCACAAGGAGUCGCUAGAGCGCAAUGAGCCAAAUAACCCCCCCCCCCCGGUCAAACCCUCCCCUAACCCGGACGAUGCUGGGCCACUGUGCCACUCGGUAGGCAGUAAUACAAUAUUAUAAUACAAUGUUAGUCUGACAUCUGAGGGGUGGUGGUUGUCAGGAGUUCAUUGGAGACACAAUUCAGACCUGAUCAUUUACAUAUUUUAUAUUUUGGAAUUAUAAGACUUCUCUGAUCUACAAUGGGACAGUCAUCCUCCCCCUUGUCAGUCCCAGCUGGUUUUGUCAGCCACUGCUCUCUCAAGACAAGUGAAUUCUGGACCCAUGUGAUUGUCUGGGACAAUCAAUGUUUGUCUGAGAAAUACAGAAAUAGGUAUUUGAUUACCAGUACAUAUAGGUCAUGAACCUGCUGCAGUACAGUAAGUCUAGUCUGUCUCACCUUCACCCCUUUUCACCUCACCCCGUUUCACCUCACCUCAUCCCGUUUCACCUCACCUCACCCCGUUUCACCUCACCUCACCCCCCUUCACCUUACCUCACCCCCCUUCACCUUACCUCACCCCCCUUCACCUUACCUCACCCCCCUUCACCUCGCCCUUCACCUCACCUCGCCCCCAACCCAAUCCGUUUACUUUUUGUCACCGUUCAAACUCACAUCCUCCUCCAAAUCUUUCUAACUACCCCAUAACGUUCUUCUCCCGCUCUGUGUGUGUGUGUCUGUGUGCACGCACGUGUUCGUGCAUGUGUGUCUGUUUUCCCCUUUGUAGUAAUGUGUGCUCUUGCUCGUGUCAGUUAACACAUUCUUGUCUGCAUUGUAGUUCAGGGAGUAUUGUUGAGAAGUGUGAAACUGUUUGUUUGUGCUCACGAGACUGAUUGCCUGUGCUCGUGACAGUGCAUGUGUGUGUGUGUAACCUGGGCUGUUCCACCUGACUGUUCCUCCCUCAGAAUUACUCUGCACCUGAAGAUCUGCCCCCCCCCCCCC